GCAUCCUGCGCCUGGGCCUCGGGCAGCGCCCGGCGGUGUCGCGCUCGCUGGUCGGCAACUCCUGGUUCUGGUUCCUCGGCGCGGUCUACCUGACGCAGAUCCCGACCUACGCCAAGGAGUUGCUG
rfam:Pseudomonas knackmussii B13 complete genome